GAUGAAGAACUCAGCGAAAUGCGAUAACUAAUGUGAAUUGCAGAAUUCCGUGAAUCAUCGAGUCUUUGAACGCACAUUGCGCCCCCUGGUAUUCCGGGGGGCAUGCCUGUCCGAGCGUCAUUGCUGCCCAUCAAGCACGGCUUGUGUGUUGGGUCCUCGUCCCCCCCGGGGGACGUGCCCGAAAGGCAGCGGCGGCACCGCGUCCGGUCCUCGAGCGUAUGGGGCUUUGUCACCCGCUCUGCAGGCCCGGCCGGCGCUGGCCGACGCGAAAGCAACCAUUUUUUCUCCAGGUUGACCUCGGAUCAGGUAGGGAUACCCGCUGAACUUAAGCAUAUCAAUAAGCGGAGGA
rnacentral:misc_RNA from 1 species